AGUGGACUCAGGAACACUUCCUCCUGCUUUUCGCCAGGAUUAAAUCCAGCAUCCAGGACCCUGACAGAACGCUGGCAUACAGCCAGUCGCUGAAGAAUAUGGACUGGAAAGAGGUGGCGUUCUCUCCGUUCUCUGCCGAAGCGUGCCAACAGAAGUGGACCGACGUUAUGCACAAGCUGUCUAAGACUCGGACCCUCACAGAGCUCGUCAAUGUUGCUGAAGACAUCGUUUCCAAUCCGGCCAAGAACUAUAAGGCGCAUCCAGAGCACCCGAAGAGACCGCCCCCCUCCAAACGCCUUCUUCAUCAAGGAACACAGUACAGCGUAUCAGAUGAAGCACCCAAACCUGAGCAGGCAAAUGGUGUUGAAGAAGCUAGUCAGGAAGUACAAUAAGCUCCCCGCGGAAGAAAAGAAUAAAUAUCUGGAUAAACAUAAACAGGCAUCCAUGGAAUACAAAGAAGCGAUGCAGAUGUUCAGUAAACGCUAUAAACCAAGCCAGAAGACCACCGAGACUCCGGAAGGAGUUUCUCCCAAGCCGGUUUUAAGUGGAUACCAUCUAUUCUGCCAAGAGCAGUGUUCUUCCACGAGCACUGUUAGAGGUGAUUCUUUUGCUCAGUCUGCCAAAAGAUGGCAAACUAUGUCUGACAAACAGAAGGAAGUGUACAACCAACGGCAUGAAGAGCUGCUGUCACAGUAUUUGGACGAGAUGAAUCAAUACUCACAGAAAUUUAGUAAGGUGAAGCAGCGGGAGUUCCUUAAAGAAUAUCGCAUCGCAAAAACUAUGACCGAUCAAAAACGUAAAAACAAAUUCCCUGGGGAGCCCGAGAUGCCAAAUAGAUUUGGAAGAACAAUUUUCUACAAACAACAGAUGUUACUUCUCUGUAAAAAAGUCCCAAACUCGAGGGAACGCUUAUCCACGGUCAACAAACUGUGGAAGAGCCUCCAGCCGGAGGAGAAGCAACGCUACAAAAUGCAAGCAUCUGAAGAAGUUGUGAGAUACUCCAUGGAGCUUCAGAAUUGGUUUGAGACUUUGCCAGAAGAACAGCAGGUCAUUUUUUGGACAAAGAACCCCAUGAAAGUCAAAUACCUCAAGUGUGAAGAACAACUAACCUACAGACCAUCAGUGGAGGAAGAAGACAACAAAGAUUUCAUCAGUUUUGAGGCGUUUUAA
ensembl:lncRNA